rnacentral:rRNA from 1 species
UACGAGUGCCUCGAGCGUUAUCCGGAAUCAUUGGGCGUAAAGGGUGUGUAGGCGGUUGUGUUAGUCUCGUGUAAAAUUCCCCGGCUCAACCGGGGGCUCGCACGGGAAACGGCACGGCUGGAGGAUGGUAGGGGUCUCUGGAACUCAUGGUGUAGCGGUGAAAUGCGUUGAUAUCAUGGGGAACACCAAAAGCGAAGGCAAGAGACUGGACCACUCCUGACGCUGAAACACGAAAGCGUGGGGAGCGAACGGG